CUCCCCUAUCCUUCACUGUGUCCAGUUUACUCAGAUUCGUGUCCGUUUAGUCAGUGAUGACAGCCAACCAUCUCAUCCCCUUCUCCUCCUGCCCUCAAUCUCUCCCAGCAUCAGGGUCUUUGCCAAUGAGUAGGCUCUUUGCAUCAGGUCGUCAAAGUAUUGGAGCUUCAGCAUCAGUCCUUCCGAUGAAUAGUCAGGAUUGAUUUCCUUUAGGAUUGACUGGUUUCAUCUCCUUGCAGUCACAGGGACACUCUAAAGUCAUCUGCAGCUCCACAGUUCCAAAUCCUCAAUUCUUUGGCAUUAAGCCUUCUUUUUCCAAGCCUUCAGUUUAUAAGAGGUGGUCAAUAUAAGACAGAGGAUUGAUUGGUUGUUUCCUAAAUGAUCUAGUCUGAAGAACAAAAGUAUCUGCAUUUGCCUCCCUGAGUGGAGGCAGGAGUUGUCUGUCUGUCCUGGAUUAAUGCCUUGCCCAUGAGGUGCAGUGGCAGGAGGGAGCCAGGACAGGAAAGGAAGGCAAAGGAGUAGAAAAAGAAAUAGAAGGGACUGUUUAACUGACUCAUGUCCUGAUAGGGAAAGAGAAGGAAAGUUUUGUAUGUUUUUUUGGACUUUGUAUAUGUUCACAAGAGGCUCAGAAAGAGAUUUUUUUUUUUUUUUUUCCUGGCAGUGGGCUCUGUCUACAUGCCCUUUCUGGUGUUGCUGUGAUGGAAGGAUUACCAUGUCUUCUGACCCCAGGGCCAAUGCACUGCCUCAUCCAUCGUGAGGCCCCUGGGAGAACCUUGCUCUAGCUCCUCAGAUGGUUCUGAUUGGCAACCACCUGUGGGUGAGCUGGGCCCAGCCCCACACACCAUACCCUGCUGUGACACCUGGAGACCAUUGGGGUGUGGAACAGCCUGGAAGGAGGAGGUUCCAGCUUCACAGUGUGGAUGCCGGCCGCAAUUUAGGGAACACGGGCCCUUCUCUCUCCUGGAAAGACCAGGGUCAUCUGGCCAGAACUCCACCAGUAAACUCCAGUCUCCAAAGCAAGGCUCUUGGGAGGGCUCCUCGAGGGCCAUGGCUUUAAUGGCAGAGGGACACCCAAUUUGACAUCUCCACCCAGUCUCUUCUCUGAACUCUACAGAGUGUAUCCGCUGCCUACCUGGCAUUUUCAUCUGAAAAUCAGCACAUACUGAGCUGAGCUCAUGUUUAUAGCUCCCCACUGAUCCAGUCUGACUCUUCUCCUGGUUUCCCUUUCUCAGUAAAUGGUAUCACCAUCUACCACAUGUACUAUCAUCAAAUUCAUCGGCAAGAUCUGUCAUUUCUGCAAAAAAAAAAAAAAAAGGUGUAUGUAAGAGUAUAUGCAUAUGUACUCACAUAUACAUGAACACUG
ensembl:lncRNA